rnacentral:rRNA from 1 species
UACAGAGGGUGCGAGCGUUGUUCGGAAUUAUUGGGCGUAAAGGGCGCGUAGGCGGGCGGGCAAGUACCUUGUGAAAUCCCCCGGCUCAACCGGGGAACGGGCACCGAUACGAGCGGCCUGGAGGGGGGUAGGGGGCACUGGAACUUCCGGUGGAGCGGUGAAAUGCGUUGAGAUCGGAAGGAACGCCCGUGGCGAAAGCGAGUGCCUGGACCCUUACUGACGCUGAGACGCGAAAGCCAGGGGAGCGAACGGG